UACGGAGGGGCGAGCGUUAUUCGGAAUUAUUGGGCGUAAAGGGAGCGUAGGCGGAUGUGCAAGUGGUAGGUGAAAGUACCCGGGCUUAACCUGGGGAGGUCCUAUCAGACUGCACGUCUAGAAUGUGGAUAGAGGAAGGUGGAAUUCCUGGAUGUAGACCGGUGUAAAUGACGUAGACUAUCAGGAAGAACAUCAAUGGCGAAGGCAGGCCUUCUGGGACCAUUAUUGGACGCUGGAGGCUCGAAAGCGUGGGGAGCGAACAGGAUUAGACUCCUGUACUCAGAC
rnacentral:rRNA from 1 species